CAGCACCUCAAGUGGUCAGGAUGAUUAUUGGGCCUAAAGCAUCCGUAGCCGGCUCUGUAAGUUUUCGGUUAAAUCUGUACGCUCAACGUACAGGCUGCCGGGAAUACUGCAGCGCUAGGGAGUGGGAGAGGUAGACGGUACUCGGUAGGAAGGGGUAAAAUCCUUUGAUCUAUUGAUGACCACCUGUGGCGAAGGCGGUCUACCAGAACACGUCCGACGGUGAGGGAUGAAAGCUGGGGGAGCAAACCGGAUUAGAUACCCGAGUAGUCC
rnacentral:rRNA from 1 species